ACUGUUGAUUUCUUGGCUCUUGGCUGGUCGAUUUGUUGCCCCCCCUGCUCCACUACCACUUCUGCAGUAUUUUGCCUGCUGUCUGCACUUUUUAUAAUUAAUUUGUCAUUUCUUUGAACGCACACGAAUUUCUGUAACUUUACAAUUAAAUUCACACGGGUUUAACGCAUCAAAUGCCACUACAGCGCCGUUGAUGAGCAUGCGCCGCCUUAUAAGGUGCUUUGUGAAACACGCAAUUGGACGAUGGACAAUUGUCGAAUUAUGUUUAUAUUUUAAUCGUUUUUCACAAAUUGUACACGAUUGGUAGAUUGCCGGAUAUGCGGAGAAAGAUUCCGGACGAACCAACCUUAAGCGAACAGCGUGACCGCAAGUUGAGUUUCGAAAUUUACGUUUUAAUGCAUAAAUAUACCAAACCGCAGACAUCCCC